AGACAACCAAUGCAUAUGAGAAGUGGGCAAAGCAAAUUUCCAAAACUGAACCACCUACAGAUCCUCUUAGAAAGAGGGGGAAAGCGAAGAAGAAGUCAGACGAUCUUCUUGCAAUUAAUAUCUCAGUGCUGUAGCAAGCGAAAGGAGCAUUUUGAUUCCAUGUUUUCAUCUUUGGUGAAUAAAUAUGGUGGUGGAAUGCAGAGUUCGGAACCCAGUGAAGAAGAGUUUGAGGCUGCAAGAAAGAAACUUGAGAGCCGAAAGUCUGCCAAAAAGUCCAGGCAGAAAUAACAGGAACAUGUGAUGUAGCUUUUGAUUGGAUUAACUGUGUAUAGCUUUGGUUGCUUUGAGCACUCUCUUAUGCUCCUAAUUUCUGUAGCCAAAAUUGGUGUGUUUGAUUUCCCCUUUGUUUGGAUGAUAUUUUGGGAUGAGAGAUGCUCAAUGCACUCCUUGGUUUGUUUCCUUAUCUUCUGGCAGCGCAAGAACUACAUUUGUUGUAAUACUAGAAAUUGCUGCCUAUAGUUUUGUGCAUGCUUAAGUUACAGGAACUUUACUUUCCCAAA